rnacentral:sRNA from 1 species
UGUAAUCUAUGCAAAUACUGCCAGACUA